rnacentral:rRNA from 1 species
AAUCUAUCGUGUCCACACCGCGAAACUACUUAUGCCCUUCUGGAGUAGGCAGACUUUACGGUUUGCCCUUCAGUUGCGCAGGUCAGGGGCUGGCUCCUUUUGGUGUCAGUUGACUUGACUGGGCGGGUCCAAUAUCAAUCGGAUUCACCGCGCCUUUCAGGCUCGGGGUUCUGCCGGUUGUGAGGGGUGGCGGUUAACUCACUUUAAGCGAUCAAUUCUGAAGACAGUUCUAUUGGCUGGCUUUGCUGGCUAUAGGCUGAAUAACUAAAGACAACUCUCAACAACGGAUAUCUUGGCUCCCGUAACGAUGAAGAACGCAGCGAAAUGCGAUACGUAGUGUGAAUUGCAGAAUUCCGUGAACCAUCGAAUCUUUGAACGCAAAUUGCGCUCGAGGCCUCGGCCAAGAGCAUGUCUGCCUCAGCGUCGGCUACUACCCUCAACCAAGUUUCCUAUUAUCAUAGGGGAUGCCGGUUGGAUCUGGCCGUCCGGUUUGCCUUUCAGGUUGCCGGUCAGCUGAAAUACAUUCACGCCCUGGGAGCUGCUUUCCUUUCGAGGGGAGGCGAGUUCCGAUUUGGUAGGUGACCUUUGCCGGUUACAUGCCUUCGUUGCCCGCUAAGCUUCCCAGUAUGCGUUGUGCAGGACGCCUUUUGGCUUUCGACCUGAGGUCAGGCAAGAACACCCGCUGAACUUAAGCAUAUCAAUAAGCGGAGGAAAAGAAACUAACUAGGAUUCCCUUAG